ensembl:lncRNA
UUUUUUUUUUUUUUUUUUUUUGUGUGUGUGUGUUUUGGAACAAAAAUUCUAGAAGUGUGGUUUGGGUGUUGUGGAUUUUUUGGUGGGUUUUUUUUUUUUGUUUUUGUUUUUCUAGAGUUCCUUUUCAAGUGACUUUGUGGCAGCAGAAAUAAAAAUCCCACAUUUAUUUCAACUGUUAGAACACAUUCAGAAAACCACAAAUGUACAAAUUCUGCCCAUGAUUUUGAGCAGGCCACACCACAGAUUUAUCAAGUUCCUUCCCAGAUUUGCUCGUAGCUAAAUUGGGGAACCCUACAGGGCAAAUGGCUUCUUUGUGUGUUUAAAAACAGCACGUAAGGACAAGUUAAGGACAUUGUUCAGUUUGUGACUAAAGCAGGAAUACAAAAUACUGAGAUAAAACUUCUGUUUACAUCUGGAACAGAUGUAUCAAUCCAAACUUCUUCCUGAAUGCUUUAUGUGCAUCAGAUAAUGUUGUCACUCCAAUGAGAAUAAUUUGCAUAGAAGUAUGAAAGCUGGGAAAUGGUUCAAUCAGUAAAGUUCCUGGAAAAAAGAAGGGGAAAAAAAAUUAAGAAGAAAAAAUGCUUAAAAAACAAAGAUCAGGGAUGGAGGAAAUGGUAAAAAGAAGCAGCAGAAGCUGCAUCAGGCAGGACUGCAUGUGGAGACAACAAAGUUUAAACCUUGGUGUCUUGAGUCCAAAUCCCAGCACAGGAACAUUUCAAAACGUGGGCCUGAUCUUUGUGCCCCAGAGACCGAAAACCAGCUCUGGAAUGAAGCUGUACUUGACAUGUAUUUGAGGAAAAUGUGAUUUUUUUUUUUUUCAGAGCCAAUGGCAAAGAAAGAACAGUGAGAAGUACAAAACCUCCACCCUACAAUUAAUUUAAAGACUGUGAAAAUCUUCAUCCAUUAGUUACAUUUGUUCUUCCAAGGAAAAAGAAAGGAUCAAGUGGGGUAGACUUUCCAGAAAUAUCUUAUUCUUCUACUUUCUUUUUCUUCUUUGGAGAGGACAGGAAAAAUAACGGAUCAAAAAGACUUAAAGUGACAUUAAAAAAAUUGGGUGUGGGGGAGGAAGGUGGUGUAUUUGGGAUGGAAUGAUGGAUUAAAAGAAUGCAAGACACUUUAAGGAGUUGUGAGGAGAAUUCAUUGUCGUGUCUGGGGCUGGGGCCAUGAAAAGGGUGUGUGUUUUAUUGGGUAAACAUCAAAAAACUUCUCAAAUAAACUCAUCAAUAAACUUCUGAGAUGCUCUAGUGGUUGAUUCCAAAAGACCCUUGCCUUGUUUGCAGGGAUAGCUCUUCCUAAAUUCCACAUCUAUUUCUUGUUGCAGUUAAAAAUGGGAACUAGAGAGGCGAGAAGAAGAAAAAAAUUGCAAACAAAAGGCCACUGUAGCCGUUCUGCUAAACAGAUAUAUUUAACAUAUCUCUCCAAGAGUUACAGAAAAUUACAGAGGAAACUUCUGUAAGACAGAUGUCAAUAAAAUGCCAUCCAUUUCCAAGCUGUGAAUUCUUCACAAAACUGUCAAAAAUCUUCAUAGAGAGAUCAAGUCUUUUGCCUCCUUGAUCUGAUGUAGGCUCCACAAGAAAAAAAAAAA